UUGUGACAUAAAAUUGUGCCAAUUUAUGUCUCCUUAGCAUUACUCAUUUUGCAUAAACAAAACCCAACCCAUUCUCAGAUAACAAAAUUCUUCUCAUAAACACGGAAGGGUAAUAACUUAGUAACGAGGCAGAGACAAAAAAUUUCACAUGAUGAGUUGUGGCAAUAAUUGUGAGAUUGUGAGAUUGUUGAUACAAAACAGGGGAAGGGGGAUGCAAAUACAAUAAGAAACUAUCAGCAAUUGAGCAUCCUUCUUUAGCCAAAAGGUUUGCACAAUGGUCGCCCUUGCAGUAGGUGUGAGAGAUGAGCGCUUCCUCAAAAGAUUGGAGGAGUAAUCUGCAGUCAGAAAUCAAGGAACUACAAGGGUGAGUGGAGAAAGAGUUAUCAUUUUGGAUGUUGAUGAUGUCUGUGACUACUUUUGCAUCAAGCUUAAUGUGCAGUUUUUUGAUGUUUACGUUUUUGGCCAAAGUAAGGCCAUCUUAGAGGGCCCACAGUUCAACAGCUAAGGAGUGAGUGAAGGCGAUAUUCCUUAAGAAACCACUUAUCCAGUUGCCUUUAUAAUCCCUAAUGAGACCACCAGCACCCACCAUACCUGAGUUUCCUUUGGCCGAGCCAUCAGUGUUUAGCUUGAAAAAACCCAAAAGAGAGGGCUUCCAACUAAUAGAGAGGGAUUUUCGAUUGGGUUUCAGAGAUUUAUGGGGAAGAGAGGAGAAGAGUUCAAGGGAUAGAGAUUGAAUCCUUUUGAGGAUGCUAUCGGGGAAGAAAAGGUAUUUUCCAUGACCAGUUUGUUUCUGGCAGACCAUAUUGCCCAAGCCGAGAUGGAGAAGAUUAAUUUCCAAGGGAUGUCGAGGAAGAGGGAUGUGGAAGAGGAGGUGUAGACAUAUUUUUAAUCUAGGCGAGAGGAGAGGUUGAGGAAAAAAAAGUGGCAAGGGGGAUAAGGAGUGAGUUUGGACCAGAUUGGUUGAACAGAAGGGCAACCUCUAAGAGUAUGCAGUGUUGUUUCGAGAGUAGUAAGAUAGAGGGGGCAAUUGGGGUCAUUUAUAAUUUUUAUUUUGUGGAGAAGAGGUUUUGUGGGGAGACUGUUGUGGCAUGAAAGCCAGAGGAAGGUGGUGAUUCUUAGGAGGGUGGGGAUUUUCCAUAACCAUUUCCAGUUGGGUUUUAGGAUCAUGGGAUCAAGCUCACAAGCAAGGAGGUAGGCUGAGCUUGAGCUGAAUUGGCCAUUUGGGGAAGGCAACUAGUAGAUAGAGUCAUGAGGCAGGGAGUUGAUAGGUUUAGGAGUAGCUCUAAUGAUGUCUGAAAGGUGACUAGAGAGGUGGAAGGAGAGGCGGUGCAGCUACCAAUUUCCAAAAUGAUCCCAAAGAUUGUAAACUUUGAGGGAAUCUUCAUUCUUGGUGAGGGGGCCAUGAAUUAAACUGCAAAUAGUGCCCCUACCAGUCCAAUUAUCUUUCCAGAAGCUGGCUGAUGUUCCAUUGCCUAAACGCCACCGUGUACCAAGAAAGCGAAUGAUGUUGGUUUUGAGGAGGCUAUCCCAAGUGAUAGAAAGCUUUUUAGAGGUGGAAUGGUUUGGGGGGUAUUUGCUGCGAAGCGUUACAGCCCAAAUGUCAUUAGAGUUAGUACAGAGGGCCCAAGAGUGUUUAGUAAGGAGGGCUUUGUUUCUGACAAAGCUUUUUUUUAUUCCGGGCUAGAAACUUUGGGCUUGUCACUGUGUCCCAAUUUUUUAAGUGCAGUUUUUUGUGUGGGUCGAUGUCACCCCAAAGGAAAUUUCUGUUGGUCUUAUCAAUUUCUUUGCAGAUGUGGUGGGACAGGAAGGAUGCAAAUGGAGGCAUUAAGUGCAAAACGUAGCUAAUUGGGCAAUUUUGGACAGCUUUGACAUCACUUUGUAAUCUGGGCAUAACUCUCUCAUCUAAGCUCCGAUUGAGAUGGUUCAAGAUUCUAUGGAACGCAAAGACAAAGCUCUACAACUUUCAUGUUUUGAAUUUUGAGAGCUACGGGAUGUAUCAAGGUCAAAAUCGGGCUUGAAGUUGCUGCACCUGCACUGUUGACGUUCUGGAAUGUUCAUUUGCUUGCAAUUCUAAUACGCAGAUCUGAUGCGGUUUAUUUUUGGAAGCUUCCAGAUCUGAUGCACGAAAAUUCCAGCUGAAAAACACCACUUUCCUAGUUAUAUUAGGACUUUGUUUUAUUUUUAAUAUUUUUCCUUAAUUAGUCAGAUUUGGAUAUUAUUAUUCAGAAUAUUUUUAGGAGAUUUUGGAGGCUUGGGAAAGGGGGAAUUAACGUGUAAAAGGGGGAGGAGAAAUCAAAAUUGAAGACACACGCCUCUCUCUCCCCUCUUCUCUGAUUUUCUCCUUUGAGUUUUCAUCAUGACCCUACUUAGCUAAAACUUUUAUACUUGGUCGAAGGAAACUAAAGCCUCGGAAUCAAUAAAACUUUGAGAUCUAAUUUGUUUUUA